CAGAAACUUAAAGGAAUUGACGGGGGCCGCACAAGCGGUGAGCAUGUGGUUUAAUUCGAAGCAACGCGAAGAACCUUACCAGGCCUUGACAUGCAGAGAACUUUCCAGAGAUGGAUUGGUGCCUUCGGGAACUCUGACACAGGUGCUGCAUGGCUGUCGUCAGCUCGUGUCGUGAGAUGUUGGGUUAAGUCCCGUAACGAGCGCAACCCUUGUCCUUAGUUACCAGCACGUUAUGGUGGGCACUCUAAGGAGACUGCCGGUGACAAACCGGAGGAAGGUGGGGAUGACGUCAGGUCAUCAUGGCCCUUACGGCCUGGGCUACACACGUGCUACAAUGGUCGGUACAAAGGGUUGCCAAGCCGCGAGGUGGAGCUAAUCCCAUAAAACCGAUCGUAGUCCGGAUCGCAGUCUGCAACUCGACUGCGUGAAGUCGGAAUCGCUAGUAAUCGUGAAUCAGAAUGUCACGGUGAAUACGUUCCCGGGCCUU
rnacentral:rRNA from 1 species